rnacentral:rRNA from 1 species
GAUGAACGCUGGCGGCGUGCCUAAUACAUGCAAGUCGAGCGAACAGACGAGGAGCUUGCUCCUCUGACGUUAGCGGCGGACGGGUGAGUAACACGUGGAUAACCUACCUAUAAGACUGGGAUAACUUCGGGAAACCGGAGCUAAUACCGGAUAAUAUAUUGAACCGCAUGGUUCAAUAGUGAAAGACGGUUUUGCUGUCACUUAUAGAUGGAUCCGCGCCGCAUUAGCUAGUUGGUAAGGUAACGGCUUACCAAGGCAACGAUGCGUAGCCGACCUGAGAGGGUGAUCGGCCACACUGGACCUGAGACACGGUCCAGACUCCUACGGGAGGCAGCAGUAGGGAAUCUUCCGCAAUGGGCGAAAGCUUGACGGAGCAACGCCGCGUGAGUGAUGAAGGUCUUCGGAUCGUAAAACUCUGUUAUUAGGGAAGAACAAAUGUGUAAGUAACUAUGCACGUCUUGACGGUACCUAUCAGAAAGCCACGGCUAACUACGUG